rfam:Ipomoea nil DNA, scaffold: scaffold3056, cultivar: Tokyo-kokei standard.
GCCCGUCUAGCUCAGUCGGUAGAGCGCAAGGAUCUUAACCUUGUGGUCCUGGGCUGAAGCCCCAGGGUGGGCG